AUUUUAUUCACAUUUAUUUUUCGCUUUUAGUGUGCUCACAGAAAAUUAGAACACCUUAAGCAGGAGUUUAAUAGCAAUUUUUGUAAGCAAAGUUACAUUCCAUCUCUAAGUCAAAUUGGUCAAAGCUUCUCCAGUAUUUACAAAACAUGAUAGACAAGAUGCUACACAAAACCAUUGCAUCUGAAGUUUUUCCUUAAUCUCAAAGACGACUGGAAAAGAAAGCAUUGUCUGCUGUAAUCAAAAACAUACCACAGUAUAAACAGUAACCAUUCCACUUAUCACAGCUUGGUUGAGUUUAAAAUUUGUGUUUAAAAGGUCCAAGAUGACUGCAGUUUUACAAAAAUGGGCAGGGUGGAAAGUUGCAAACUUCAUGUGCUUCUGGAUAUCAAGAUUUGUUUUUAUACAAUAGUCACAGUUAAAAACACCCUGCUGGUAAUACAUAAUUACACUUUAUUAAGGUCAUAAACCAGCAAUAAACAAUAAAGCCUAUACAACUUGUAGUUCUACUUAAUCACUGACUGGUACAGCUAACAUGAGAUAAGUGAAAAGUUCCUAUGGUUUAAAUGAACUCCUAAGACUAUGAUCUUUUUAAAAAUCUGGGUAUUGGGUUUUUUUUUUUCCCUCUCUUUCCUUCUUAGUCAAGACUUGUAGUGUUGUAAACCUGCCUCACAAAAUACAUCGUAAUAACUUUUCUUUAAAAAAAAAAAAAAAAGACUAAGCCUUUACACCAUUUCUAGUGGUACAUUAUCUUGGCAAUGUUACGUACCACUUAAAUUUCCCCAUCCUGGCCGCUAUCACUUCAUCUGAUAUCCCUUUUUGACCCACCCAUCUCCUUCAUAUAUGGGCACGUCGUCCAUAGAUUGACAAAGAAAGUUUACAUUUUUGAAUAAAGAUGCAAAGUAUGCAAAAAACAUUAAUACUGAUGCAAAAAAUAAAAAUAAAAGAGAAACAAGGCAGAGGAAGGUAUUUAAGCUCUCCUCCACCUGUUGGAAUGGUGGUAACAGAAUGAUCUGAGAUGGGAUCUGCGGGGAGGGGAGAAAAAAAAAUUUGCUGCUUAAAAAAAAAGUAAAAUAAAAAAAGACAUCUUUAAAAUCAAUCCCUGGUUGUAGACAAGUUCUCCAAAACCAGUACCUGGCACCACUCCAACAAACAAACUGGGGGGAGAAAAGUUCUUCGAUUAUCUCAAAAAAUCUCGCCCGUUUACUCUGCCGCCUCCGCUGGGGGGGCUUCUGGACUGCACUCGGGCUGGGUCUCCUGGAGGGGGGAGUGGGGGUGGUGAAGAGGACAGAACAGAGUCGAUUAAAUACACUCCGGAUAAAAAAAUUUUAGUCGAAGAGAUCAAAAAGCAGCAGCGCAGGAGGGAGGGAAAAAGGGUGGAAAAGUCGAGCACAAAAAAAGGAGCCCAAGUGUAGUUUAAAAAAAAAAGAAGUAAUAAAAAAAAUCCCAGAUUUGUAGCCGCACUGUAGACAAGAGGAAAAUGGAGAAAUCUCCCUGGUUGCUAAU
rnacentral:lncRNA from 1 species